rnacentral:rRNA from 1 species
GAACGCGAAGAACCUUACCUGGUCUUGACAUGUACGGAAUCCUCCAGAGACGGAGGAGUGCCUUCGGGAGCCGUAACACAGGUGCUGCAUGGCUGUCGUCAGCUCGUGUCGUGAGAUGUUGGGUUAAGUCCCGCAACGAGCGCAACCCUUGUCAUUAGUUGCCAUCAUUCAGUUGGGCACUCUAAUGAGACUGCCGGUGACAAGCCGGAGGAAGGUGGGGAUGACGUCAAGUCCUCAUGGCCCUUAUGACCAGGGCUUCACACGUCAUACAAUGGUCGGUACAGAGGGUAGCCAAGCCGCGAGGUGGAGCCAAUCUCACAAAACCGAUCGUAGUCCGGAUUGCACUCUGCAACUCGAGUGCAUGAAGUCGGAAUCGCUAGUAAUCGCAGGUCAGCAUACUGCGGUGAAUACGUUCCCGGGUCUUGUACACACC